UUCUUAUAGAUAUUAUUAUAAGUAAAAUCUGCUCAAUGUAUAAUAAAUAGCCGCAGAAUUUUACUGUGCUAAGGUAGCAUAAUCACUUGCCUUUUAAUUAAAGACUAGAAUGAAAGACAUCACAAUUUAACUUCUAUUUUAAAUUAAAAUUAUUAAAUUAUUUUAAGUAUAAAAAAAUACUUAUUAAAAAAAAAGACGACAAGACCCUAUCGAACUUUACUAGAGUUAAGCUGGGGUAGCUUUUUAAAAAUUACUUUAAUUAUAAAUAUUUAUAUUAAUAAUCCAUUACAAAUGAAAUAUAAACAAGUUACCGUAGGGAUAACAGCGUAAUUAUAUUUUAAAGCUCUUAUUUAAAAUACAGCUUACGACCUCGAUGUUGAAUAUUUACCUUUAUAAUGCAAUAAUUAUACUAAGGAGGUCUGUUCGACCUUUAAAAUUUUACA
rnacentral:rRNA from 2 species